rnacentral:rRNA from 1 species
CGGGUGGUAAUGCCGGAUGUUCCAGUUGAUCGCAUGGUCUUCUGGGAAAGCUUUCGCGGUAUGGGAUGGGGUCGCGUCCUAUCAGCUUGACGGCGGGGUAACGGCCCACCGUGGCUUCGACGGGUAGCCGGCCUGAGAGGGCGACCGGCCACAUUGGGACUGAGAUACGGCCCAGACUCCUACGGGAGGCAGCAGUGGGGAAUAUUGCACAAUGGGCGCAAGCCUGAUGCAGCGACGCCGCGUGAGGGAUGGAGGCCUUCGGGUUGUAAACCUCUUUUAUCGGGGAGCAAGCGUGAGUGAGUUUACCCGUUGAAUAAGCACCGGCUAACUACGUGCCAGCAGCCGCGGUAAUACGUAGGGUGCAAGCGUUAUCCGGAAUUAUUGGGCGUAAAGGGCUCGUAGGCGGUUCGUCGCGUCCGGUGUGAAAGUCCAUCGCUUAACGGUGGAUCCGCGCCGGGUACGGGCGGGCUUGAGUGCGGUAGGGGAGACUGGAAUUCCCGGUGUAACGGUGGAAUGUGUAGAUAUCGGAAAAGAAACACCA